UUGCUUAGUUUGAUGGCGACCGGCGCACGGGUGAGUAACACGUAUCCCCCUUUAGGUUUACUCAGGGAUAGACUUUCGAAAGAAAGAUUCCUUCCUGAUAGUAUGGUGAGAUUGCAUGAUAGCACCAUUAAAGAUUUAUUGGUAAACGAUGGGGAUGCGUUCCAUUAGGUAGUAGGCGGGGUAACGGCCCACCUAGCCGACGAUGGAUAGGGGUUCUGAGAGGAAGGUCCCCCACAUUGGAACUGAGACACGGUCCAAACUCCUACGGGAGGCAGCAGUGAGGAAUAUUGGUCAAUGGGCGAGAGCCUGAACCAGCCAAGUAGCGUGAAGGAUGAAGGUCCUACGGAUUGUAAACUUCUUUUAUACGGGAAUAAAGUUUCCUACGUGUAGGAUUUUGUAUGUACCGUAUGAAUAAGCAUCGGCUAACUCCGUGCCAGCAGCCGCGGUAAUACGGAGGAUGCGAGCGUUAUCCGGAUUUAUUGGGUUUAAAGGGAGCGCAGACGGGAGAUUAAGUCAGUUGUGAAAGUUUGCGGCUCAACCGUAAAAUUGCAGUUGAUACUGGUUUCCUUGAGUGCAGUUGAGGCAGGCGGAAUUCGUGGUGUAGCGGUGAAAUGCUUAGAUAUCACGAAGAACUCCGAUUG
rnacentral:rRNA from 1 species